GACUCGCUCCACAACACAUGAUCAGUACUUCUUCAAAUUGUCACAAUCAUCAAAAACAGAAAGGUGGGGAAACUGCUAGGACCAAAAUGAGCAUGAGGCAAGACAAUGAAAUGUAUUGAGAGAUCCUGGACGGAAUCCUGGAGCAGAAAACAUUAGCUGGGGGAACAGCCAGAAGUUGCACGGUGGUGAAGCUGGUGAAUAAGUGAGUGAGCACUCACCUGCAAUAGAGUCGGACCAGCCUGCCUUUCUCUUGGGUAUUCAGCAACAGCAUUUGCAUAUUUUUUAUCUCACCUAUGAAGAUAUUCUUGAAGGAAGACUUCCAGAACUGCUUCAGAAAGUGGCGGGAAUGAUGGACUUCGUUGAAAGCAAGACAGAAAUUAAUGCAUUGCUCAAAUUUCAGGAACAUUGCAAAGGGUGCUCACAGAAUAACUCAAACCAAACAACAUUGAAGAACAUCAAUUUAUUUACAAGCAAAUCAGUACAAGAUCUCACUUGACCUUUUCUUGCUUUGAUCACUAAUGCAAGUAGGCAAUCAUCUUUCUACAGCGUGUAUUGUUCAAUAGCUAGCAUCUCCAGUGAAAAACUCAUCAGAUAUGGAUAAGUUUCAUGAGAUUCAAUGAUAUUCCAACCCUAAAAGAAACAGAGGUAUGUUCAAGAGGAAAAAACAAACAGAAAAAGAACAAAGCGUUGAAGUCAAACUGUAAAAGAAAAUAAA